GUGCCUCCCGAGGCUCGGAAAUGCGAAGACCGUACACUAAGUAGGCUGGGACGGAAGCUUACUUCCCGUGUCAGAACGGAAGCAAGAAGGAAGGACGGUGUCGUCUUGUCCCGCCUUGGCUGGAAGUGUGUUUCUCAGGCAACUCAAGUUCUCUGCUGCUCAGUCCAUGUCGGCGAGUAAGUGCUGAAGUACCGCGAGUGUUGAUUUUGGAGUACGAAUGGAUUCAGCAGAUAGGCACAUUCACAGGACAUAUCAGCUAUGAGACAAAAGAGAAAAGUGGGUGAAUAAGCAAUUGGAUACAUGCAUCUGGGACUCAGAGAAGAGGUCUGGAGACAAGAUGUGGAGAAGAGGAUGCAGGACUAUACCUUAGAAAAGCCAGCUCUGGAAAACCAGACUAAGAAUGAGCAACCAGAGAACUCAGGAGGAAAAUGAGGGGGAGGCAUUAUUGAAGCCAAGGGAAGAUGGAGAUUUCAAGAGGGAGAAUUGGCUAACCGGUUCCUGCUGCUGAGAUAACAAGACAAAACAUAAAGUGUCCACUGGGCCCCGCCAGAAUCACAUGAAAUGGGAGAGAGACAGUACUGCAAAGACUUUGUGCCAUUACCAGAUGAAGGAGGAACAAGAAUGCUGGAAUCCUAAAAGCAAUGGUGUCCACUAUUCAUCAUGCGUUGGCAAUUCAGGGAAAAGAAGAGAAAAAGACCAAAGAGUAAAGCACAAAUUUCAAAGUCAAGCUUACUAGAUAAAGACAGAAGACUUGGAAUUUGAGAGAGAGAAAUCUGAACUUCAUUUGACUGAGGUGUCACCAUGCAAGGAGAUGGUCACUUGUAUCGAGGCGUCAGGUUGCCGUCUGAAAUGGAGAAGAGCACAUAGCAGUGUAAGUAGUUUGAAAUGAGGAGGAAUCAAUGACCCACCAGCCCAGCCCUGAGGAAGGGGAAGUCUCUGGUUCUUUGUAGUUGCCACACCUAGUGCUCGGCACUGACACGGUGAUCUUUGGAAUACCCCGUGCCUUCCUCCCUUCAGCCCAGCAGGGACAUUUGGACCACCCAGCCGGGUCUGUUGGAAGACCUGCUUCAUACAACAUACUUUGCUGGGUACUGUCAGGAGGGUGGGGAAGCAUAAGAUUUGAGCUUGUAAGCUGCUUGGAGAGUGACUACAUGUAUAUUUGGGGAAAAAAGACGACGACAGUCCAACCCCAAAGCAGUGUCCCGUGCUGAGAGGAUGAGUCAUACAGACGAGAUCCUGCAGAUAGGGAGCAGUUAUACAAGGAGCAAGGACUUUUUUCCAUGAAGGACAACCAGCUUUGUAGAGCCCUUAUUGAAGCCUUGCCCAAGGAUGCGGUCUUUUGGAGAGACAACUGGUGAAUAUCUUCUGGGCAGACAGAACCACCAAUGGGCAAUGGAAACCUUCAUCUAAAAGCAUAUGAAGAUUCUAGGAAGCAAGGCUGAAGUAGAAAGAGGCAAGACUGUGGUUCCAUGGACAAACGGGGGCGACCACUAGGGAUCUGGGUUUUCAAGAAGUGCAACACUCAGCAGGUAGAUGGGAGUCCCUAAGUCAGGACAUUAGGACAGUGCUGCCAAAAAGACAGUAGUGGUAGGAGGUCCUGUGACCUACAAAUUCAGUGCUCUGUUGCUCCUGUUAGGGAAAUAGGGAGCCCAGGAACAGAUCCAGAUCUCCAAGUCAGUAUAGUCAGGUGGCCCAGCUCUCCUAGGAAUGGAGAGUCAUGGAAAAAAUGAAUAUCACUUAAGUGAACAAAAACAAGACAAGAAUGUCCCCCCUCAUUACUCCCAUUUGACAUCAUGCUGGAAGUCCUAGCUAAUGCAAUAAGACAGGAAAAGGAAAUAAAGUAUACAGUUUGAGAAGGAAGAAAUAAACUGUUUGCAGAUGAUAUGAUUGUCAAAAAUCCCAAUGAAUUGACUAAAUGAAUAAAUAAUAAAAAUCCUGGAACUAACAGCAAUUAUAGCAAACUUGCCAGAUACAGGGUUAAUAUACAUAAGUUAAUUAUUUUCCUGUAUACCAUCGAUGAGGAAUUAGAACUUGAAGUCAAAAACGCAAUAACAUUUACAAAGUGGACCAUGCAGCUGAACCUGCAACUCCCAUCUUGAGCCUUUGUAUUUGCUGUUCCCUUUACCUAGAAGGCCUAUCUCCCAGAUGUCCAAAUGACUAACUCCUUCAUAUACUUCAAAUCUUCUCUCAGAAAGUUAUCUUCCUGGAGGAUUCUGGGAAGAUGGCUAAGUAGGAAGCAUCAGGAAUCGGUUUCCCCACCUGGACAACAAUUGCACAGCAGAAUCCGUCUGAUGUAUUUGGGAACUCUGGAGUCUACUGAAGGCUUGCAACUUGCAGGGGAAGUAUUAGAUAGCAAAUUGCAGUUAAUUUGGUCAAUUUCAAUUCUUGUACAGUAGCAGUUACCAUCCCUCAUCCCAAGACUAGUGGCAGGCACCUGUGCAUGGGUUUCUGGAGCAGCUGGCAUGCAGGUUGUGGGAGCCAGGGUGAAUAUCCACCAAAUAUCAAGGAUCUGUCCCCUGAUUGCCAAUUGCUGCUUCUGAUCACAGAGGUGCAAAAACGAGGGUAGCCAUUGUUGUUGUACUUUCCCCCCAAUGUGGCAAGCCCUUCCCCUUCUAGUUGAAGUGACUUCCAGAGGACUUAAAGGGCUGACACCCUUCCUCCCCUCCUUCCUUUCUUUCUCUUUUUCCCUUUUUGGAAGUCAGACAUUAAAGACUAAGACAUUCAAAAGCAACUUUAUGUAUGAGGGAAAAUUAGAAAGUGACUGUGCAUGCCCAGGGGAAGGCACAGGAUCAGAAAAGACCUGAGAAGACUUUAAGUUUAUAAUUCAGGCUGGUCUUUGGUGCAGAGACAGGCUGCAAUAAUAGAGAAAAAAAAACCCACACAAUAACCCAAAACAGCAAACCCUGGGGAAGGGGAAGAUUCUGAUUUCCAGAGUUACCACAUUAUUAGAUUCAAAUGUCUAGUUUUCAACAACAACAACAACAACAACAACAACAAAUAUCACAAAGCAUACAUAGAAACAGGAAAGUAUGGCCCACUCAAAGGAAAAAAAAAAAUCAAUAGAAAGUAUUCCUGAAAAAGACCUGGUGGCAGUUUACUAGGCAAAGACUAAAACUACUGUCUUCAAGAUGCUCAAAGAACUAAAGGAAGAUGUUGAGAAAAAUCAAGAAAAUGAUGUAGUAACAAAAUGGAAAGAUCAGUAAAGAGAGAAAACCUAAAAAGAAACCAGAAAGAAAUUCUGGAGCUGAAAACACAAUAACUGAAAUGAAAAUUCACCACAGGUAUUCAAAGGCAGAUUGUGAGCAGCCAGAAGAAAGAAUCAGCAAACCAGAAGAUAAAACAAUGGAAAUUAUUCAAUUUAAAGAACAGAAAGUAAAAAGAAUUAAAGAAAAGCAAAUGGAGAAAUAGAAAACCUGAACAGACCCAUAACUGGCAAGGAAAUUGAAGCAGUAAUCAAAAAUCUCCCAACAAAUAAGAGUCCAGGGCUGGAUGGCCUCCCAGGGGAAUUCUACCAAACAUUUAAAGAAUUAAUACCUAUUUUUCUGAAGCUGUGUCAAAAAAUAGAAAUGGAAGGAAAACUUACAAACUAGUUCUAUGAGGCCAGCAUUACCUUUUUUUUUUUUUUUUUUUUUUUUUUUUUUGAGGCCAGCAUUACCUUGAUCCCAAAACCAGACAAAGACCCCACCAAAGGGGCGCCUGGGUGGCUCAGUUGGUUAAGCGACUGCCUCCGGCUCAGGUCAUGAUCCUGGAGUCCCUGGAUCGAGUCCUGCAUCGGGCUCCCUGCUCGGCAGGGAGUCUGCUUCUCCCUCUCCCACUCCCCGUUUGUGUUCCCUCUCUCGCUGUGUCUUUCUCUGUCAAAUAAAUAAAAUCUCUAAAAAAAAAAAAUAAAAGACCCCACCAAAAAGGAGGAUUACAGACCAAUAUCCCUGAUGAACGGGGGAUGCAAAAAUUCUCACCAAGAUACUAGCCAAUAGGAUCCACAGUACAUUAAAAGGAUUAUUCACCACGAUCAAGUGGGAUUUAUUCCUGGGCUGCAAAGGUGGUUCAACAUCCGCAAAUCAAUCACUGUGAUACAUUACAUUAAUAAAAGGAAGGACAAGAACCAUAUGAUCCUCUCAAUAGAUGCAGAAAAAGCAUUUGACAAAGUAUAGCAAAGUUUCUUGAUUACAACUCUUCACAGUGUACGAAUAGAGGGAACAUACCUCAAUAUCAUAAAAGCCAUAUAUGAAAAGCCCACAGCAAAUAUCAUUCUCAAGGGGGAAAAACUGAGAGCUUUUCCCCUAAGGUAAGGAACAUGACAGGGGUGUCCACUCUCACCAUUGUUGUUCAACAUAGUAGUAGAGAGUAGUAGAAGCCUUAGCCUCAGCAAUCAGGCAACAAAAAGAAAUAAAAGGCAUCUGAAUCAGCAAAGAAGAAGUCAAACUCUCACUGUUCACAGAUGACAUGAUACUCUAUGUGGAAAACCCAAAAGACUCCAUCCCAAAAUUGCUGGCACUCAUACAGGAAUUCAGCAAAGUGACAGGAUAUAAAAUCAAUGCACAGAAAUCAGUUGCAUUUCUAUACACUAACAAUGAGACAUAAGAAAGAGAAAUUAAGGAGUCAAUCCCGUAUACAAUUGCAUCAAAACCCAUUAGAUACCUAGGAAUAAACCUAACCAAAGAGGCAAAGGAUCUGUACUCAGAAAACUAUAGAACACUCAUGAAAGAAAUUGAGGAAGACACAAAGAAAUGGAAAAAUGUUACAUGUUCUUGGAUUGGAAAAACAAAUAUUGUUAAAAUGUCUAUGCUACUGGGCGCCUGGGUGGCUCAGUUGGUUAAGCGACUGCCUUCGGCUCAGGUCAUGAUCCUGGAGUCCCUGGAUCGAGUCCCGCGUCAGGCUCCCUGCUCGGCAGGGAGCCUGCUUCUGCCUCUGACCCUCCCCCCUCUCAUGUGCUCUCUCUCUCUCAUUCUCUCUGUCUCAAAUAAAUAAAUAAAAUCUUUAAAAAAAUAAAAAAAUAAAAAUAAAUGUCUAUGCUACUUAGAGCAAUCUAUACAUUCAAAGCAAUCCCUAUCAAAAUACCAUCAACUUUUUUCACAGAGCUGGAACAAAUAAUUCUAAAAUUUGUGUGGAACCAGAAAAGAACCUGAAUAGCCAAAGGAAUGUUGAAAAAGAAAACCAAAGCUGGUGGCAUCACAAUUCCGGACUUCAAGCUCUAUUACAAAGCUGUAACCAUCAAGACAGUAUAUGGUACUGGCACAAAAACAGAUACAUAGAUCAGUGAAACAGAAUAGAAAACCCAGAAAUAGACCCUUAACUCCAUGGUCAACUAAUCUUCGACAAAGUAAGAAAAAAUAUCCAAUGAAAAAAAGACAGUUUCUUUAACAACUGGUGUUGGGAAAAUUGGACAGCCACAUGCAGAAGAAUGAAACUGGACCAUUUUCUUACAUCAUACACAAAUAUAGACUCAAAAUGGAUGAAAGACUUAAAUGUGAGACAGGAAUCCAUCAAAAUCCUAGAGAAGAACACAGGCAGCAACCUUUGUGACCUUGGCCAAAGCAACCUCUUGCUAGACACAUUUCCAAAGGCAAAGGAAACUAAAAAGAUUUUGCACAGCAAAGGAAAUAGUCGACAAAACCAGAAGGCAGCCGACAGAAUGGGAGAAGAUAUUUGCAAAUGUCUUAUCAGAUAAAGGGCUAGUUGGGGCACCUGGGUGGCUCAGUUGGUUAAGCCACUGCCUUCAGCUCAGGUCAUGAUCCUGGAGUCUCGGGAUCGAGUCCCCACAUCGGGGUCCCUGCUCGGAGGGGAGUCUUCUUCUCCCUCUGACCCUCCCCCUUCUCAUGCUCUUUCUCUCAUUCUCUCUCUCUAAUAAAUAAAUAAAAUCUAAAAAAAAAAAAAAA